AUAGCGUAUAUUAAAGUUGUUGCAGUUAAAAAGCUCGUAGUUGAAUUUCGGGAUCAAAGGAUCGGUCAUGCCUUGGUAUGUACUGGUUUUAUUGGUUCUCACCUUCUAAAGAACCAUAAUGUCAUUCAUUUGAUGUUAUGGGGAAUUAGGACUGUUACCUUGAAAAAAUUAGAGUGUUUAAAGCAGGCUUACGCUUGAAUACAUUAGCAUGGAAUAAUGAAAUAGGACAUCAGAUUCUAUUUUGUUGGUUUCUAGGAUCGAUGUAAUGAUUAAUAGGGAUAGUUGGGGGCAUUAGUAUUCAAUUGUCAGAGGUGAAAUUCUUGGAUUUAUUGAAGACUAACUACUG
rnacentral:rRNA from 1 species